CUGUGACCUUGAAUGUAAAAAUGUUAAAGUUCUUAUUUCAUGUUAUAACUUUGGUAUGCUUGUACCUAGAGUCUUCAAACUUGAAAUAAAGAUUGGCCAGUACUAGAAGAUGACCACUGGUCAUUUCAAUGUCAUUCAUUUGAAGGUCAAGGUCACUGUGACCUUAAAUGUUAAAAUGUUAAAAUUGUUAUAACUUUGGUAUGCUUGGACAUAGAGUCUUCAAACUUGACAUGAAGGUUUGCAAGCACACUUAGAUGACCACUGGUCAUUUCAAGGUCAUUCAUUCUAAGGUCAAGGUCACUGUGACCUUGAAUGUAAAAAUGUUAAAGUUCUUAUAACUUUGGUAGGUAAAAAUGUUAAAGUUCUUAUUCCAUGUUAUAACUUUGGUAUGCUUGUACCUAGAGUCUUCAAACUGUGACCUUCAAUGUUAAAAUGUUAAAAUUGUUAUAACUUUGGUAUGCUUGGACCUAGAAUCUCAAACUUGACGUAAAGGUUUGCAAGCACACUUAGAUGACCACUGGUCAUUUCAAGGUCAUUCAUUUGAAUGUCAAGGUCACUGUGACCUUCAAUAUAAAAAAUGUUAAAGUUGUUAUAACUUUGGUAUGCUUGGACCUAGAGUCUUGAAACUUGACAUGAAGGUUGGCCAUAACUAGUUAGUAACCACUGGUCAUUUCAAGGUCAUUCAUUUGAAGGUCAAGGUCACUGUGACCUUGAAUGUAAAAAUGUUAAAGUUCUUAUUUCAUGGUAUAACUUUGUCAUGCUUGGACCUAGAGUCUUCAAACUUGACAUGAAGGUUGGCCAGGAUUAACAGAUGACCACUGGUCAUUUCAAGGUCAUUCAUUUGAAGGUGAAGGUCACUGUGACCUUCAAUAUAAAAAUGUUAAAGUUGUUAUAACUUUGGUAUGCUUGGACCUAGAGUCUUGAAACUUGACAUGAAGGUUGGCCAGAACUAGUAAGUAACCACUGUACAUUUCAAGGUCAUUCAUUUGAAGGUCAAGGUCACUGUGACCUUGAAUGUAAAAAUGUUAAAGUUGUUAUAACUUUGGUAUGCUUGGACCUAGAGUCUUGAAACUUGACAUGAAGGUUGGCCAGAACUAGUAAGUAACCACUGGACAUUUCAAGGUCAUUCAUUUGAAGGUCAAGGUCACUGUGACCUUGAAUGUAAAAAUGUUAAAGUUCUUAUUUCAUGUUAUAACUUUGGUAUGCUUGUACCUAGAGUCUUCAAACUUGAAAUAAAGAUUGGCCAGUACUAGAAGAUGACCACUGGUCAUUUCAAUGUCAUUCAUUUGAAGGUCAAGGUCACUGUGACCUUAAAUGUUAAAAUGUUAAAAUUGUUAUAACUUUGGUAUGCUUGGACAUAGAGUCUUCAAACUUGACAUGAAGGUUUGCAAGCACACUUAGAUGACCACUGGUCAUUUCAAGGUCAUUCAUUCUAAGGUCAAGGUCACUGUGACCUUGAAUGUAAAAAUGUUAAAGUUCUUAUAACUUUGGUAGGUAAAAAUGUUAAAGUUCUUAUUCCAUGUUAUAACUUUGGUAUGCUUGUACCUAGAGUCUUCAAACUUGACAUAAAGGUUGGCCAGUACUAGAAGAUCACCACUGCUCAUUUCAAUGUCAUUCAUUUGAAGGUCAAGGUCACUGUGACCUUCAAUGUUAAAAUGUUAAAAUUGUUAUAACUUUGGUAUGCUUGGACCUAGAAUCUCAAACUUGACGUAAAGGUUUGCAAGCACACUUAGAUGACCACUGGUCAUUUCAAGGUCAUUCAUUUCAAUGUCAUUCAUUUGAAGGUCAAGGUCACUGUGAACUUAAAUGUUAAAAUGUUAAAAUUGUUGUAACUUUGGUACUUUCCUGUCAUUUAAAUCAAAAAUCCGGCUUCAAUGCGGUCAUCUCCGACCGCGGAACUCUUGUU